CAGUCGAACGAGCGAGAGAGAGCUUACUUUCUCAAGCGAGUGGCGAACGGGUGAGUAACGCGUGAGGAACCUGCCUCAAAGAGGGGGACAACAGUUGGAAACGACUGCUAAUACCGCAUAAGCCCACGACCCGGCAUCGGGUAGAGGGAAAAGGAGCAAUCCGCUUUGAGAUGGCCUCGCGUCCGAUUAGCUAGUUGGUGAGGUAACGGCCCACCAAGGCGACGAUCGGUAGCCGGACUGAGAGGUUGAACGGCCACAUUGGGACUGAGACACGGCCCAGACUCCUACGGGAGGCAGCAGUGGGGAAUAUUGCACAAUGGGGGAAACCCUGAUGCAGCGACGCCGCGUGGAGGAAGAAGGUCUUCGGAUUGUAAACUCCUGUUGUUGAGGAAGAUAAUGACGGUACUCAACAAGGAAGUGACGGCUAACUACGUGCCAGCAGCCGCGGUAAAACGUAGGUCACAAGCGUUGUCCGGAAUUACUGGGUGUAAAGGGAGCGCAGGCGGGAAGACAAGUUGGAAGUGAAAUCCAUGGGCUCAACCCAUGAACUGCUUUCAAAACUGUUUUUCUUGAGUAGUGCAGAGGUAGGCGGAAUUCCCGGUGUAGCGGUGGAAUGCGUAGAUAUCGGGAGGAACACCAGUGGCGAAGGCGGCCUACUGGGCACCAACUGACGCUGAGGCUCGAAAGUGUGGGUAGCAAACAGGAUUAGAUACCCUGGUAGUCCACACUGUAAACGAUGAUUACUAGGUGUUGGAGGAUUGACCCCUUCAGUGCCGCAGUUAACACAAUAAGUAAUCCACCUGGGGAGUACGACCGCAAGGUUGAAACUCAAAGGAAUUGAC
rnacentral:rRNA from 1 species